UCCAAACAGGGGUAUAAUUUCAAUAUAAGGGGAAAUAUUGCUUUAUAUACAUAUAAGGAUCCAAAAGAAUGACGUUUAUUAUGGUCACUUUUUUUUUUUUUUUUUACAGCUUCUUAACUGUCUCUUAUUCUCUUCCAAUUGUACUCAUGGUUGCCUGGGUUGUAUUUAUAGCUGUUUUUGUAAAAAAGCUUGUUUAUGAGAAAGACCUCCGGCUUCAUGAGUACAUGAAGAUGAUGGGUGUGAACUCCUGCAGCCAUUUUUUUGCCUGGCUUAUAGAGAGUGUUGGAUUUCUGCUGGUUACCAUCACGAUCCUCAUCAUUAUACUCAAGUUUGG
rnacentral:lncRNA from 1 species